AUUGCACGCUGGCGGCAGGCCUAACACAUGCAAGUCGAGCGGAGCGGCGGACGGGUGAGUAAUGCCUAGGAAUCUGCCUGGUAGUGGGGGAUAACGUCCGGAAACGGGCGCUAAUAUCGCAUACUAUCAGAUGAGCCUAGGUCGGAUUAGCUAGUUGGUGGGUUAAAGGCCUACCAAGGCAACGAACCGUAACUGGUCUGAGAGGAGGAGCAGUCACACUGGAACGUAGACACGGUCCAGACGCAGACGGGAGGCAGCAGUGGGGAAUAUUGGACAAUGGGCGAAAGCCUGAUCCAGCCAUGCCGCGGGUGUGAAGAAGUUCUUCGGAUUGGAAAGCACUUUAAGUUGGGAGGCGUUACCAACAGAAUAAGCACCGGCUAACGUCGUGCCAGCAGCCGCGGUAAUAC
rnacentral:rRNA from 1 species